rnacentral:lncRNA from 13 species
GGCAUGUGCAGACUUUUCCCCCGCCUCAAACCAGGCUGGCCAUCGAAUGCAGCGCUUCUGUUGGCUAUAUGCCAAGGGCAUAAGACACUUACUGGUUAGAGUUAGAUAUAAUGAAGUGAUUUCAUUGGUUGAGACCGAAAUUAGCCUUGUUGUCACAGUUUUGCCGCGAACAUCAGUAGCUAGUUAACGUUAGCUACAUGACUUUCUUUAGAGAAGGUUCAAUCUUUGACUUCUCUAGCUACUUGGCUAGACUUGAUCGCAUUGUUUGUAAUAACAUUAUUUAGGGGCAGUUAGUUAUUUAAGACCUCGUUAACCUAUUCAUUUUGACCCAUUAUCUGGCAGUUUGAAUAAAACUAGCAAAUUAUCUCUGGUGACAGUCAGCUAGCUAGCUAAGCUAAAGUUAGCAAGCAACCGCGGUAGGAAAGGCAAAGAAGGGUGAAAUGACGAGCGUGGACGUGAUUUAUGAAAAGAUUCACUUCAGGCACGAUCCGAAAUGGUCUGUUCAGUGUUCGCAUGGGUCACCCGGACCAGGGCGGCUUGAUGAUCUGCGUCGCUUGUGUCAUUGAGAUGAUGGAAAGCAACAACGUUGCGUCUGUGAGAAAGUCUGUGGCGCUGUCAGGGAUCAGUGGGGUCUUGAAGAGCUGUCCUGGGGCUCUGAAGGAGCUUCUACUGCAGGACCACAGGGUCUGUCAGCAUUUCACAGCAUCUUUACUGGGCAAGGAAGAUAUGCACACGCACACACACACAAUCAAGCAAAGCCUUGCUUUAUCUCUGACUUUAUUUGACUCUUUUUUUCCGUACAGGGAUGCUUCACACAGUC